rnacentral:rRNA from 1 species
AGCUCCAAUAACGUAUAUUAAAGUUGUUGCAAUUGAAAAGCUCAUAGUUGGAUUUAUGGUGGGAGGGAUUGGUCCAGCACUAAUUGUGGUAAUUUGUAUCCUCUCUGACCAUCCUUGAGUGGAUCUUAUCUGGCAUUAAGAUGCCAGUCAGGGGAUGACCAUUGUUUACUACGAAAAAAAUUAGAGUGUUCAAAGCAGGCUUAUACCAUUGAAUAUAUUAGAAUGGAAUAAUAAGAUAGGGACCUGGUACUAUUUUGUUAGUUUGUGUACUGAGGUAAUGAUCAAUAGGGAAAGUUGGGGGUAUUUGUAUUCAGUAUUCAGUGGUGAAAUACUUAAACCUACGAAAGACACACUACUGCAAAAGCAUUUACCAAGGAUAUUUUCA